CUGAACAGGGUUCUCAAAUGGGAGAGGAAGGAGGAUAGGCCCUGUGACCCUUGAUACCCAGAGUGGGACCAAAACAGUCACCUAGUAGCAGAUAAGCAGAACCCUGUUCCUGUGGCCCCAAAUGAACUCAGAGCCUUUUGUAAUGUUACAGCUUGGCUAGCAGAAAAUUUAAAAUGCUUGAACCAUUUGAAAGGGCUUCAAGUCAAGUUGUUGCCAUAAAAACACUGGGACCCAGAAGAUACUAAGAAAAAGAAAAAAAAAAGACAGAAUUUCCUUUUCUGGUAGAGCUGCUCAUAAAAGGAAAGCAAGCUCUUUGCUGCCCAGGAGAGAAAAAUGUGUAUAAAGAGUAACAGAAGAGAUGAAGUGAUUGUCAUGGGAUUUAUGUCACUUGGGCCUGGAAAUCACCUGAGAGGCAGAGGUUUGCUUAAAAGCAGGAGAAUCACUAACUUUGGACUAGAAACAAACAAACAAGUCAAAAUCAUUCAGUCUAAUAAUUUAAGACAGAAAAAUGGAGACCUAGACAGUGAGGUGGCUUCCUGAAGGUCACCUGUCUGAAGAGAGGCAGUGGCAGAGCCAGAGGCAGUGGCAGAGCCAGAGGCGGUAGCCGGGCCUCAGUUCCAGUCCGCUGCUGGCAGCUCUGCCCGCCUGGCUGAGGCCCGGGGAAGCACGUGAACCAGAGAGGCGGGAAGCGCAAAGCAUCUUUGGGGGUAAACAGAGAAGCAAAGCUACCGAAGAAGGUUUGUUUGGAAGAAAGCGCCACCGAAGGUUGAGAAAGUGGGUGAUUUGAAACCCUCCUAGGACUUGGGCUACAGCUUGAAGGCAAUGGGGAAUCCAGGAGCACACCUGAGGAAGGGACGGCUCGGCUUGCGGGAUCUCAUUUCCCCGACCAGGGAUUGAACCCAGACCACGUCAGUGAAAGCGCCGAAUCCUAACCACCAGACCCCAGCGGACCUGCCCUGGUUUCUCAGUCUUGACACCUCUGAGAUAGGGGGUGGAGUGGAACUCAUAACACAGCUUUCUCCAAAGAAAUUCUCAUCUAAAAUCUUACCCUCAACUCUUUUGCCACUUACUUUGUAAAUCCUGGUGUAGCACUUCACUUUGGAAUUUGGUAUUUAUUGUGAUUCAGCUGAAACUUCUAUUUUAAUAUCUGCUUUCAUUUGAUUUAGGAUACAUCUUG